rnacentral:rRNA from 1 species
UACGUAGGGGGCUAGCGUUGUCCGGAAUCAUUGGGCGUAAAGCGCGCGUAGGCGGCCAGAUAAGUCCGGUGUGAAAGUCACAGGCUCAACCUGUGAAUGCCGCUGGAAACUGUCUGGCUAGAGUCCGGAAGGGGCGAGUGGAAUUCCUGGUGUAGCGGUGAAAUGCGCAGAUAUCAGGAGGAACACCAAUGGCGAAGGCAGCUCACUGGCCCGAUACUGACGUGAGGUGCGAAAGCGUGGGGAGCAAACAGG